ensembl:snRNA U4 U4 spliceosomal RNA
GGCUUUGCACAGAGGGGGUGCUGAGCCAGUGAGGUUUCUCCAAGGUACAACUGUUGCUAAUUGAAAACUUUUCUCAGUUCCCCACUGGGAAGACUUGCCAUGUAGUCAACACUGGCACUUUUCAAUAGUCUCUAUGGAGA